CCUGGAGGUUGCAGGGUGCUGUGCCUCCUGGCUGGACUUGCUGCUGCUAGGUGUCACUUGCAAGACACUGAGAGUCCACCUGCUUGGAACUGCAGGCAACAAACACAAACGAGAAAGAAGGAAGGAAGAAAGGAUUCUUGGAUUUCACAGGCUUCCACAGGAUUCAUUAAAACACAUUCUGCUGUGGAGCACAGCUGCAAGCAUUUCACCUGGGCAAAAAAGGGGUGGAGCCUGGCUCCAGCCCUCCCCACCCUCGUUUAAGGGCUGCCUGUCUAAGGGGAAGAAUCUCUACUGGGACAUCUGCUCUGUGCUAAUACUUUCUGAGUCCUGUUCUUCAGAAAGGGCUCUUUGUUUACUAGCUUGAGUCCUUCCCCAUUCUUAGGAAAAUUAAAACACAGGAAAGCAGCUGGAUCAGCUACUGCCUUUCACUACAGUUACCAUUUUAGGUUAUGGAUCAAGGUUGAACUGUACAGAGAGAGUGCAGCCACAAGGCUCUGGCUGUGCCGGGCCUCCCACCAGCCUGGGCCCCAAAGCAGCUCCAACUGUGCCUGGCCCCCCUCCAGCCCAGGCCCCAAAGCAGCCCCAACUGUGCCUGCUCCUCCUCCAUCCUAGGCCCCAAAGCCUGGGCAGUGCCGGGGCUCCCUCUGCUCUGGGCCAAGAGGAGGCCUCAACUCUGCUAGGCCCCCCUCCAGCUCGGGCCCCCCCAGUGCAGCCCCAACUGCACCUGGUCCUCCUCCAGCCUGGGCCCCGAGGCUCUACCUGUGCCUGGGCCCCCUUCCUUCUGGGCCCACACCAGGCCUCAACUGUGCCAGGCCCCCUCCAGCCUGGGCCCCGAGGCCACCACUCUGCUGGACCACCCUCCGGCACAGGCCCUGCCCCAAGCCCUGCCCCCUCUGGACAGCUCUGCUCUUUGCCUGCUUGGUUUUUGUUCUCUCUUCACUCUGCCAGCUUAACUGGAUGAGUUUCAAUGGGGCCGAGUGUCGGGUCCUGCAUUUUGGUCACAACAAGCCCAGGCGUCCCCCCAGUCCUCCUUGGGGAGGAGUGGCUGGAAAGCUGCCUGAGCCCUGAAAGGGACCUUGGUGUGCUGACGGACAGGUGGCUGAAGAUGAGCCAGCAGUGUGCCCAGGUGGCCAAGAAGGCCAAUGGCAUAAGGACAAUUCCUGGCUCAGGAACGGUGUGGUGAGCAGGACUAGGGAAGUCAUCCUGCCCCUGGACUCGGCACUGGCGAGGCCUCACCUCGAGUGCAGUGUUCAGUUUUGGG
ensembl:lncRNA